GACGAACCGUGCGAACGUUGUUCGGAAUCACUGGGCUUAAAGGGCGCGUAGGCGGCCGGGUUGGUCGUGGGUGAAAUCCCCCAGCUUAACUGGGGAACUGCCUACGAUACUGCCUGGCUCGAGGGAGGAAGGGGCGGUCGGAACUGUCGGUGGAGCGGUGAAAUGCGUUGAUAUCGACAGGAACGCCGGUGGCGAAAGCGGACCGCUGGCCCGUCUUCUGACGCUGAUGCGCGAAAGCCAGGGGAGCGAACGGG
rnacentral:rRNA from 1 species